rfam:Pteropus alecto contig69429, whole genome shotgun sequence.
GUCUAUGGCCAUGCCACCCUGAACGUGCCCGAUCUCAUCUGAUCUCGGAAGCUCAUAAGCAAGGUUGGGCCUGGUUAGUACUUGGAUGGGAGACCACCUAGGAAUACCAGGUGCUGCACGUG